AAUAAGAUGCCUGAAAAAAGGAUUAUUUUGAUAGAAUAAAUUAUGUAUAAAAAUUAUACUCUUAUUG
rnacentral:tRNA from 1 species